GGUUUGAUUCUGGCUCAGAUUGAACGCUGGCGGGAUGCUUUACACAUGCAAUUCGAACGGCAGCACGGACUUCGGUCUGGUGGCGAGUGGCGAACGGGUGAGUAAUGUAUCGGAACGUGCCUAGUAGCGGGGAUAAUUACGCGAAAGCGUAGCUAAUACCGCAUACGCCCUUCGGGGGAAAGCGGGGACCUUCGCCUCGCACUAUUAGAGCGGCCGAUAUCGGAUUAGCCAGUUGGUGGGGUAACGGCUCACCAAGGCGACGAUCCGUAGCUGGUUUGAGAGGACGACCAGCCACAUCGGGACUGAGACACGGCCCAGACUCCUACGGGAGGUGCAGUGGGGAAUUUUGACAAUGGGGGAAACCCUGAUCCAGCCAUCCUGCGUGUGCGAUGAAGGCCUUCGGGUUAAAGCACUUUUGGCAGGAAAGAAACGGCACGGGAUAAUACCCCGUGCAACUGACGGUACCUGCAGAAUAAGCACCGCUAACUACGUGCCAGCAGCCGCGCAAUAAUGUAGGGUGCAAGCGUUAAUCGGAAUUACUGGGCGUAAAGCGUGCGCAGGCGGUUCGGAAAGAAAGAUGUGAAAUCCCAGAGCUUAACUUUUGGAACUGCAUUUUUAACUACCGAGCUAGAUAAGUCAGGAGGAGGUGGAAUUCCGCGUGUAGCAGUGAAAUGCGUAGAUAUGCGGAGAACACCGAUGGCGAAGGCAGCCUCCUGGGAUAACACUGACGCUCAUGCACGAAAGCGUGGGGGCAAACAGGAUUAGAUACCCUGGUAGUCCACGCCCUAAACGAUGUCAACUAGCUGUUAGCCUUUCGGGCCUUGGUAGCGCAGCUAACGCGUGAAGUUGACCGCCUGGGGAGUACGGUCGCAAGAUUAAAACUCAAAGGAAUUGAUUUGGGACCCGCACAAGCGGUGGAUGAUGUGGAUUAAUUCGAUGCAACGCGAAAAACCUUACCUACCCUUGACAUGUCUGGAAUCCCGAAGAGAUUUGGGAGCGCUCGCAAGAGAACGCACCACACAGGUGUUGCAUGGCUGUCGUCAGCUCGUGUCGUGAGAUGUUGGGUUAAGUCCCGCAACGAGCGCAACCCCGUCAUUAGUUGCUACGAAAGGGCACUCUAAUGAGACUGCCGGUGACAAACCGGAGGAAGGUGGGGAUGAUGCCUGUCCUCAUGGUCUUAUGGGUAGGGCUUCACACGUCAUACAAUGGUCGGGACAGAGGGUCGCCAACCCGCGAGGGGGAGCUAAUCCUAGAAACCUGAUCGUAGUCCGGAUCGCAGUCUGCAACUCGACUGCGUGAAGUCGGAAUCGCUAGUAAUCGCGGAUCAGCAUGUCGCGGUGAAUAUGCUCCUGCAUCUUGUACACACCGCCGUCACACCAUGGGAGUGGGUUUUACCAGAAGUAGUUAGCCUAACCGUAAGGAGGGCGAUUACCACGGUAGGAUUCAUGACUGGGGUGAAGUCGUAACAAGGUAA
rnacentral:rRNA from 1 species